AGCAGUAGGGAAUAUUGGGCAAUGGAGGCAACUCUGACCCAGCCAUGCCGCGUGCAGGACGAAGGCGCUCAGCGUUGUAAACUGCUUUUACUCAUGAAGAACCGGUGGGAUGCGUCCUGCUUUGACGGUAGUGAGGGAAUAAGCACCGGCUAACUCCGUGCCAGCAGCCGCGGUAAUACGGAGGGUGCAAGCGUUGUCCGGAUUUAUUGGGUUUAAAGGGUGCGUAGGUGGCGUCUUAAGUCUGGUUUGAAAGCGGGUGGCUUAACCAUCCGAUGUGGCUGGAAACUGGGGUGCUUGAAUGGGUUGGCGGUAGCCGGAACGGGUCAUGUAGCGGUGAAAUACAUAGAUAUGACCCAGAACACCGAUUGCGAAGGCAGGCUACUAGGACUCGAUUGACACUGAGG
rnacentral:rRNA from 1 species